CCUGGCUCAGGAUGAACGCUAGCUACAGGCUAACACAUGCAAGUCAGGGGCAGCAUUGAGGUUGCUUGCAACUUCAGAUGGCGACCGGCGCACGGGUGAGUAACGCGUAUCCAACCUUCCCCACAGUAGAGGAUAGCCCGGCGAAAGUCGGAUUAAUACUCUAUGUUGUACAACGAGGACAUCUGAAUUGUACCAAAGAUUCAUCGCUAUGGGAUGGGGAUGCGUCUGAUUAGCUUGUCGGCGGGGUAACGGCCCACCGAGGCAACGAUCAGUAGGGGUUCUGAGAGGAAGGUCCCCCACAUUGGUACUGAGACACGGACCAAACUCCUACGGGAGGCAGCAGUGAGGAAUAUUGGUCAAUGGGCGAGAGCCUGAACCAGCCAAGUAGCGUGCCAGGAUGACUGCCCUAUGGGUUGUAAACUGCUUUUAUGCGGGAAUAAAGUCAGGUACGUGUACCUGUUUGUAUGUACCGCAUGAAUAAGGACCGGCUAAUUCCGUGCCAGCCGCGGC
rnacentral:rRNA from 1 species